GAAUUGGGUGCUCCAAAGAAAUUUACACAGGAACAAAUUUUUGAAGGUAUUAAGAAGGAAUACCAACAAAGGCUACAAACUAAUGAUAUUAUUAAGAGCGAUCCUAACACUCUGUGCGAUGAAUAUUGGAAAGAUGACAUUCAAACAUGGCCACAUCUUGAUGAUGGAAUGCUACAUUCUACGAGUAAAGGCAGUGGAUGUUGAAUAUAUUGGCAAAUACAAAGAUGAGAGGGCCUACUCAUAUUGGAUGAGUGGAUUUGUUGAUAUAAUUUAUGUUGCCAAAUGCCCCAUUGACAAGACCAUGACAUUUUUUUGUAAAGCUCAGUAUGUCCAUCACGAAGGAUUUAUGAUGACUCACAUAUAAAAGUGUGGAUGUGUGUCCUUGAACAGCUGGAACAGUUGGC